GUGAUGUCGAAUUUACAUGGAUAACCGUGGUAAUUCUAGAGCUAAUACAUGCUGGUAGGCCCGACUUUUGCGGAAGGGCGGUAUUUAUUAGAUAACAAGCCAAUAUUCCUCUGGUCUAUUGUGGUGACUCAUAAUAACUGAUCGAAUCGCAAGGCCUUUGGCCGCGAUAAGUCAUUCAAGUUUCUGCCCCAUCAGCUUUCGAUGGUAGUGUAUUGGACUACCAUGGCGGUUACGGGUAACGGAGGAUUAGGGUUCGAUUCCGGAGAGGGAGCCUGAGAAACGGCUACCACAUCUAAGGAAGGCAGCAGGCGCGUAAAUUACCCAAUCCUGACUCAGGGAGGUAGUGACAAGAAAUAACGGACCGAGGCCUUCGGGCUUCGGGAUUGGAAUGAGCCGAAUUUACACCCCUUAGCGAAGAUCGAUUGGAGGGCAAGUCUGGUGCCAGCAGCCGCGGUAAUUCCAGCUCCAAUAGCGUAUAUUAAAGUUGUUGCAGUUAAAAAGCUCGUAGUUGGAUUUCUGGGAGGGUGCCGAUGUCCACUUAACGUGUGCGCAGCGGCGCCCUCUCAUCCUUCUGUUAGCGUCUCUUGGCAUUCAUUUGCUGGUGGCGGGCUCAGAUAUUUUACCUUGAGAAAAUUAGAGUGUUUCAGGCAGGCUAGGCCGGAAUACAUUAGCAUGGAAUAAUGGAAUAGGACUACGGUCUCUUUGUUGGGUUGAGGGACUGCAGUAAUGAUUAAUAGGGAUAGUUGGGGGCAUUAGUACUUAACUGUCAGAGGUGGAAUUCUCAGAUUUGUUAAAGACUGACUUAUGUGAAAGCAUUUGCCAAGGAUGUUUUCAUUAAUCAAGAACGAAAGUUAGGGGAUCAAAGACGAUCAGAUACCGUCCUAGUCUUAACCAUAAACUAUGCCGACUCGGGAUUGGGGGCGUGUUCUAUCCGCCUUCAGCACCGUAUGAGAAAUCAAGUCUUUGGGUUCUGGGG
rnacentral:rRNA from 1 species